rnacentral:rRNA from 1 species
GAUGAACGCUGGCGGCGUGCUUAACACAUGCAAGUCGAACGGAAGGCCCAAGCUUGCUUUGGUAAUCGGGUGGCGAACGGGUGAGUAACCCGGGGGUGAUCUGCCCUGCACUUCGGGAUAAGCCUGGGAAACUGGGUCUAAUACCGGGUAGGGCGAUGGUUUGGAUGCCAUUGUGGAAAGUUUUUUCGGUGUGGGAUGAGCUCGCGGCCUAUCAGCUUGUUGGUGGGGUAAUGGCCUACCAAGGCGUCGACGGGUAGCCGGCCUGAGAGGGUGUACGGCCACAUUGGGACUGAGAUACGGCCCAGACUCCUACGGGAGGCAGCAGUGGGGAAUAUUGCACAAUGGGCGCAAGCCUGAUGCAGCGACGCCGCGUGGGGGAUGACGGCCUUCGGGUUGUAAACUCCUUUCGCUAGGGACGAAGCGUUUUUGUGACGGUACCUGGAGAAGAAGCACCGGCUAACUACGUG